GCCCCCUCUCUCUUCUCCCUCUCUUCUCCCUUGAAGAUCCAACACCUAAGGAGUUUGGGAGACCCACUUCUCCAUGCCCAAAAGGUGUUUGGGUGCCCUUUUGCUUGCUGGUUUUCAGACCUUGAUUGCUUCAUAAUCAGGGGAAGAAAAGCAAGAGAAGAAGAGAAGAAGAAGAUCAAAGAAAGGAUCAAAGAGUUGAUCGCGAUUCAGGCUUCGUUCAGGUUCGCAGACUGAUUUUUCUUAGGAAAAAAAAUCAAUAGCAAAGAGGGCUAUUUCAGGCUGAUCCUGAAUGGAUAUCCA
rnacentral:lncRNA from 1 species